CUUAGAAUAGGAGCAAAGCAACACAGGGCAUUUGUUAUUUUUAUAGCUCUCAAUCUAUCAUGCCUAAAUUUAUGAAACUAUAUGUACUGUUAAAACUUCAAACUAAAACAUGCAAUAAUAUAGAUCUACUGCAUAGAGAAUUUCACAAGGAUUGCAAAAACUCCACAUUUGCUAUUUUACGAUUUUUAUAUGAAUUUCUAAUGCAUUUCCAAAGUUCAACCAUGAAAUCUGCAAAAAAAAAAAGGAAAACAGAUCUUGCACCGGGGACCCUACAUUUUCCAUGAAUCAUGCUAUAACCCAGAAACACUAUUUAUAUGAGUCUCGGCUUCGUAUCUGGAACCCUGAGUUGUUUCAUAUUCUAACACGAGGUCCCUAAUGCUAAAGGAAACAGGGGAGCUCGUCGUAGAGCUCACGAUUCGGCCGGAGGAGGCUUGGUGGCGACCGCUGAAGGGUGGAGAAGCACCGGGAGAGUAUCCCGCAUCCACAAGACCACCCAUCUUGGCC
rnacentral:lncRNA from 1 species